rnacentral:tRNA from 2 species
CGGGGCGUAGCGCAGUUGGCUAGCGCGUUCGCUUGGGGUGCGAGAGGUCGCUGGUUCAAAUCCAGUCGCCCCGACCA